rnacentral:rRNA from 1 species
GUAGGGUGCGAGCGUUAAUCGGAAUUACUGGGCGUAAAGCGUGCGCAGGCGGUUGUGUAAGACAGGUGUGAAAUCCCCGGGCUUAACCUGGGAAMUGCGCUUGUGACUGCACGGCUAGAGUAUGGCAGAGGGGGGUGGAAUUCCACGUGUAGCAGGUGAAAUGCGUAGAGAUGUGGAGGAACACCGAUGGCGAAGGCAGCCCCCUGGGCCAAUACUGACGCUCAUGCACGAAAGCGUGGGGAGCAAACAGGAUUAGAUACCCUGGUAGUCCACGCCCUAAACGAUGUCUACUAGGUGUUGGGUGAGGAGACUCAUUGAGUACCGCASCUAACGCGUGAAKUCNACCGCCUGGGGAGUACGGUCGCAAGAUUA